rnacentral:rRNA from 1 species
CGGCGAGCGAAAAGGGAAGAGCCCAGCGCCCAAUCCCCGACCCUCGGUCGCGGGAAAUGUGGCGUUUGGGAGUGAGCGUGCCGGGCGCGCGCUGGACGGCAAGUCCCCCUGACCGGGGCCUAUCCAUAGCGGGUGCGAGGCCCAUAGCCGUUCGGCGCGUCUCGGAUGCGAUCUCCUUGGAGUCGGGUUGCUUGGGAGUGCAGCCCUAAUCGGGUGGUAAACUCCACCUAAGGCUAAAUACCGCCGUGAGACCGAUAGCAAACAAGUACCGUGAGGGAAAGUUGCAAAGAACUUUGAAGAGAGAGUUCAAGAGUACGUGAAACUGCUCAGAGGUAAACGGGUGGGCCCUCGAAAUCCUGUGGCGAGAGGAUUCAGUCUGUCGGACCGUGCGCGAGGCCGGAAGUCGAGGCAGGGCUUCCCGGGACCGGGGCCGUCCGGUCGCGCGGACCUCGGGCCGGCAGACGCAUUUGACUCUCGUCCGAAGGACGCUGCAGCCGGCGGGGCAGUGAAAGCGCGACGGCCUGAAGGGCGGGAGAUGGCAGGUGGCCGCUGGCGCGUCUCGUGCGCGUCGGCGGUUGUUAGCCGUCCCGCCAGUGGCCCGUCGCCCCGCCGAGGUGUCACAAGGCCCCGAGUGGGCCUCUCCGUCUCCCUCCGUGCGGGAUGGACCGUUCGCUGGC